rnacentral:ncRNA from 2 species
UCCCAAAUGUAGACAAAGC